UACGUAGGGGGCAAGCGUUGUUCGGAAUUACUGGGCGUAAAGGGCGCGUAGGCGGCACGGCAAGUCAGGAGUGAAAGCCCUGGGCUCAACCCGGGAACUGCUUUUGAAACUGCCGAGCUAGAGUGCGGAAGGGGCAACUGGAAUUCCCAGUGUAGCGGUGAAAUGCGUAGAUAUUGGGAAGAACACCUGAGGCGAAGGCGGGUUGCUGGGCCGACACUGACGCUGAGGCGCGAAAGCGUGGGUAGCGAACAGG
rnacentral:rRNA from 1 species